rnacentral:tRNA from 1 species
UUUGCUGUAGGUUAUAUAAACCGGCAAGCUUAUUACUUGUAAAAGAAUCCGUGUUCCAGCCACC